UAAGACGGAGGGAGCGAGCGUUGUUCGGAUUUACUGGGUGUAAAGGGCGUCUAGGCGGGUUUGUAAGUCAGGUGUGAAAUCCUCCGGCUUAACCGAAGAACCGCAUUUGAUACUACAAGUCUUGAGUUCGGAAGAGGGAAGCGGAAUUCCUGGUGUAGCGGUGAAAUGCGUAGAUAUCAGGAAGAACACCAGUGGCGAAGGCGGCUUCCUGGUCCGAUACUGACGCUGAAGCGCGAAAGUGUGGGGAGCGAACAGGAUUAGAUACCCUGGUAGUCCACACUGUAAACGAUGGAUGCUAGGUGUCGGGGGUAUCGACCCCUUCGGUGCCGAAGUUAACGCAUUAAGCAUCCCACCUGGGGAGUACGGUCGCAAGGUUG
rnacentral:rRNA from 1 species